rnacentral:lncRNA from 1 species
AGGGAGCGUUUAGCAGGGCCUGACUCGCCUCGCUACUAGCACUACUAAUACUGGGCUGGCUGUCCCUCACGCCUUGACGCACGACUCGCCCGGCGUCAUUCACUACUUGGGCCUUCACUCGUGUUCUGAGAGGAGAAGCGCAUUUGAGGAAUUUCAACGAUGCUUCAUAUUCGCCAGCAACCAGUGGCACAGCUUCCCACACACAUCAGCUGAUCCAGUGUAAACAAAGAUGAACGGGAGGAGGAGGA